GGCCAAACAUGAAGUCUCAACAUCGUGUGCACUGCUAUUUCUUAUUUUUGCUGUGUUACUUCGACAUUGGGUUGAGAUGGCGAGACAAACUUGUCGUGCAUGGCGUGGAAUAAUAAUCGAGCCAUGAGUGCAAGGGUGUUUUCCAACCUUGGACAAACAAAGUAAAAACGUGACACCAAUGUUCGUAAAUAUCAAAGAGUUAUGAGAAGUUGGGCACCUGUAAAGUGCUGGACAUUUGCCCAGCAGCUGGCCUCGGUCAAACUCAAGCUGUCGUCCUUUGCCUUGUUCGAGUUGGGAUUAGAUAUCGAUCGGAGCCACGGACAACCACAACGAAUGGAGAAAAUCGAAUUUCUGCUGCUCUGUUUCGGACAACAAAACAUAGAUGGUGAGCUCGACGUUGUUGGCCAGCAAUAGAAUUACAGAGAAGAAGACGUCUAGAGUGCUUCUUGAUGUUAUCCGACAUGUCUUGCGACAACAUAUAUCCAGUCUCUUUAUCUCUAAGCUUUUAACUGAUUUCCAUUUGGAACUACGUCACAAGCUACUGUAGAUCGGAACUGCUGCAUCCAUACAACCAAUCCAUACACAAUAGAGCUAUAUAUAUAUAUAUAGUUUUAUCUCUCUAUAUGAAUCGAUAAAUCAAAUGAGGAUUGUUUUUUGUUGAAUAGAAAACAAAUACAUGCCAGCUCCGUCUA